rnacentral:rRNA from 1 species
UACGGGGGGGCGGAAGCGUGUUCGGUAAUUGACUGGGGCGGUAAAGGGCGCGUAGGCGGUUCGCUAAGUUGAAAUGUGAAAACUCUGGCUUAACCCAGAGCCUGACAUUCAAUACUGGCGGGCUAGAGUUCUGGAGGGGAUAGCGGAAUUCCUGGUGUAGCGGUGAAAUGCGUAGAUAUCAGGAGGAACACCGGUGGCGAAGGCGGCUAUCUGGACAGAAGUCUGACGCUGAUGACGCGAA